GNANCUGGCGNCGUGCCUAAUGCAUGCUAGUCGAGCGAACGGACGAGAAGCUUGCUUCUCUGAUGUUAGCGGCGGACGGGUGAGUAACACGUGGAUAACCUACCUAUAAGACUGGGAUAACUUCGGGAAACCGGAGCUAAUACCGGAUAAUAUUUUGAACCGCAUGGUUCAAAAGUGAAAGACGGUCUUGCUGUCACUUAUAGAUGGAUCCGCGCUGCAUUAGCUAGUUGGUAAGGUAACGGCUUACCAAGGCAACGAUGCAUAGCCGACCUGAGAGGGUGAUCGGCCACACUGGAACUGAGACACGGUCCAGACUCCUACGGGAGGCAGCAGUAGGGAAUCUUCCGCAAUGGGCGAAAGCCUGACGGAGCAACGCCGCGUGAGUGAUGAAGGUCUUCGGAUCGUAAAACUCUGUUAUUAGGGAAGAACAUAUGUGUAAGUAACUGUGCACAUCUUGACGGUACCUAAUCAGAAAGCCACGGCUAACUACGUGCCAGCAGCCGCGGUAAUACGUAGGUGGCAAGCGUUAUCCGGAAUUAUUGGGCGUAAAGCGCGCGUAGGCGGUUUUUUAAGUCUGAUGUGAAAGCCCACGGCUCAACCGUGGAGGGUCAUUGGAAACUGGAAAACUUGAGUGCAGAAGAGGAAAGUGGAAUUCCAUGUGUAGCGGUGAAAUGCGCAGAGAUAUGGAGGAACACCAGUGGCGAAGGCGACUUUCUGGUCUGUAACUGACGCUGAUGUGCGAAAGCGUGGGGAUCAAACAGGAUUAGAUACCCUGGUAGUCCACGCCGUAAACGAUGAGUGCUAAGUGUUAGGGGGUUUCCGCCCCUUAGUGCUGCAGCUAACGCAUUAAGCACUCCGCCUGGGGAGUACGACCGCAAGGUUGAAACUCAAAGGAAUUGACGGGGACCCGCACAAGCGGUGGAGCAUGUGGUUUAAUUCGAAGCAACGCGAAGAACCUUACCAAAUCUUGACAUCCUUUGACAACUCUAGAGAUAGAGCCUUCCCCUUCGGGGGACAAAGUGACAGGUGGUGCAUGGUUGUCGUCAGCUCGUGUCGUGAGAUGUUGGGUUAAGUCCCGCAACGAGCGCAACCCUUAAGCUUAGUUGCCAUCAUUAAGUUGGGCACUCUAAGUUGACUGCCGGUGACAAACCGGAGGAAGGUGGGGAUGACGUCAAAUCAUCAUGCCCCUUAUGAUUUGGGCUACACACGUGCUACAAUGGACAAUACAAAGGGCAGCGAAACCGCGAGGUCAAGCAAAUCCCAUAAAGUUGUUCUCAGUUCGGAUUGUAGUCUGCAACUCGACUACAUGAAGCUGGAAUCGCUAGUAAUCGUAGAUCUAGCAUGCNACGNGAAACNCCCC
rnacentral:rRNA from 1 species